CUGUAGGUGGGUUAAGGGUCUGUAGGUGCCUUCUGUAGGUGGGUUAAGGGUCUGUAGGUGGGUUAAGGGUCUGUAGGUGGGUUAAGGGUCUGUAGGUGGGUUAAGGGUCUGUAGGUGGGUUAAGGGCCUGUAGGUGCCUUCUGUAGGUGGGUUAAGGGUCUGUAGGUGGGUUAAGGGCCUGUAGGUGGGUUAAGGGCCUGUAGGUGGGUUAAGGGCCUGUAGGUGGGUUAAGGGCCUGUAGGUGCCUUCUGUAGGUGGGUUAAGGGUCUGUAGGUGGGUUAAGGGUCUGUAGGUGCCUUCUGUAGGUGGGUUAAGGGUCUGUAGGUGGGUUAAGGGCCUGUAGGUGCCUUCUGUAGGUGGGUUAAGGGCCUGUAGGUGGGUUAAGGGUCUGUAGGUGCCUUCUGUAGGUGGGUUAAGGGUCUGUAGGUGGGUUAAGGGCCUGUAGGUGGGUUAAGGGUCUGUAGAUGGGUUAAGGGUCUGUAGGUGGGUUAAGGGCCUGUAGGUGCCUUCUGUAGGUGGGUUAAGGGUCUGUAGGUGGGUUAAGGGCCUGUAGGUGGGUUAAGGGCCUGUAGGUGCCUUCUGUAGGUGGGUUAAGGGCCUGUAGGUGGGUUAAGGGUCUGUAGGUGCCUUCUGUAGGUGGGUUAAGGGCCUGUAGGUGGGUUAAGGGCCUGUAGGUGCCUUCUGUAGGUGGGUUAAGGGCCUGUAAU